GACGAACGCUGGCGGCGUGCCUAAUACAUGCAAGUCGAACGCUUCUUUCCUCCCGAGUGCUUGCACUCAAUUGGAAAGAGGAGUGGCGGACGGGUGAGUAACACGUGGGUAACCUACCCAUCAGAGGGGGAUAACACUUGGAAACAGGUGCUAAUACCGCAUAACAGUUUAUGCCGCAUGGCAUAAGAGUGAAAGGCGCUUUCGGGUGUCGUUGAUGGAUGGACCCGCGGUGCAUUAGCUAGUUGGUGAGGUAACGGCUCACCAAGGCCACGAUGCAUAGCCGACCUGAGAGGGUGAUCGGCCACACUGGGACUGAGACACGGCCCAGACUCCUACGGGAGGCAGCAGUAGGGAAUCUUCGGCAAUGGACGAAAGUCUGACCGAGCAACGCCGCGUGAGUGAAGAAGGUUUUCGGAUCGUAAAACUCUGUUGUUAGAGAAGAACAAGGACGUUAGUAACUGAACGUCCCCUGACGGUAUCCAACCAGAAAGCCACGGCUAACUACGUG
rnacentral:rRNA from 1 species